rnacentral:rRNA from 1 species
GACGAACGCUGGCGGCGUGCCUAAUACAUGCAAGUAGAACGCACAGUUUAUACCGUAGCUUGCUACACCAUAGACUGUGAGUUGCGAACGGGUGAGUAACGCGUAGGUAACCUGCCUGGUAGCGGGGGAUAACUAUUGGAAACGAUAGCUAAUACCGCAUAAUAUUAAUUAUUGCAUGAUAAUUAAUUGAAAGGUGCAAUUGCACCACUACCAGAUGGACCUGCGUUGUAUUAGCUAGUAGGUGAGGUAACGGCUCACCUAGGCGACGAUACAUAGCCGACCUGGGAGGGGGAUCGGCCACACUGGGACUGAGACACGGCCCAGACUCCUACGGGAGGCAGCAGUAGGGAAUCUUCGGCAAUGGACGAAAGUCUGACCGAGCAACGCCGCGUGAGUGAAGAAGGGUUUCGGAUCGUAAAGAUCUGUUGUAAGAGAAGAACGGGUGUGAGAGUGGAAAGUUCACACUGUGACGGUAUCUGACCAGAAAGGGGCGGCUAACUACGUG